AUUUAAGUAGUUUAAAUAAAACGUCGGUUUGUGGUGCCGAAGAUAUGAGUUUAAUUCAUUUUGAAUC
rnacentral:tRNA from 1 species